AUUUCUAUUCAAUGUGUGGACAAUCCUGUUGGAUGUCCUGGUGUAAUCGUCUAUGACGAUGAAACAUUUCCCAUUUCUUUCCAACAGGAUACCACACAGGGGACUGCCUGCAGCGAUGGAGAAGGCCCUCACAGUUCUGUGAGAGUUUUCCAAUGGCCCAGUAAUGAAGCUAAAGAGGACAUUACUCUGUCGAGGGAUUCUCCAGAGACCAACAGGGAUUCAAACUGCUGCUGCAGUGUGCAGUAAUGUGGCGGCACCUGACUCAACCACUGAGGAAGACGUCCCCUCGGAGAGAAGACCAGCAGGAAUGAGAGAACCCACACUCUGGCUACGUAUUGCAGUACUAUCACAGGCUGCUGAUUAAUGAUGCAUUGAAGCCAAUAUCUCAUUAAUAACCACUGUCAAUACAAUAAUUAGUAAUGGUUGUGUAAUACAUGUGGAUUUGCGACAGUUACACCUUCUAAAAACUGUAAAAUAUGAAUAGAUUUACAGACUUUACCAUUAUGACCUUCUCUUGCACAAAGACGUAAAAUACUUAAGAGACUCUGUGCCUGUGACCAAAGGGUGCUGUACAUUUUAGUGCUCUUGCAAUGUCCAUUGUGGUGUUAAUUAGUAGUUUCAGUUGUUUAGUUUUAAAACACCACCAGAUAGAUGGUUUAGACUUACUGUAAUUUUGUUAUGCGUGGUUCACCAU